UGGAGGGCAGCUCAGUGGAAGAGCACUUGCCUCACAUGCAUGAGACUUUGGGUUUCAUUCCCAGCACCACAG
rfam:Ictidomys tridecemlineatus contig018862, whole genome shotgun sequence.